rnacentral:rRNA from 1 species
AUUGAACGCUGGCGGCAGGCCUAACACAUGCAAGUCGAGCGGAUGAAGGGAGCUUGCUCCUGGAUUCAGCGGCGGACGGGUGAGUAAUGCCUAGGAAUCUGCCUGGUAGUGGGGGAUAACGUCCGGAAACGGGCGCUAAUACCGCAUACGUCCUGAGGGAGAAAGUGGGGGAUCUUCGGACCUCACGCUAUCAGAUGAGCCUAGGUCGGAUUAGCUAGUUGGUGGGGUAAAGGCCUACCAAGGCGACGAUCCGUAACUGGUCUGAGAGGAUGAUCAGUCACACUGGAACUGAGACACGGUCCAGACUCCUACGGGAGGCAGCAGUGGGGAAUAUUGGACAAUGGGCGAAAGCCUGAUCCAGCCAUGCCGCGUGUGUGAAGAGGGUCUUCGGAUUGUAAAGCACUUUAAGUUGGGAGGAAGAGCAGUAAGUUAAUACCUUGCUGUUUUGACGUUACCAACAGAAUAAGCACCGGCUAACUUCGUG